AGCAGUCGCCGCGGUAAUACAGAGGGUGCGAGCGUUAAUCGGAUUUACUGGGCGUAAAGCGUGCGUAGGCGGCUUCUUAAGUCGGAUGUGAAAUCCCUGAGCUUAACUUAGGAAUUGCAUUUGAUACUGGGAAGCUAGAGUAUGGGAGAGGAUGGUAGAAUUCCAGGUGUAGCGGUGAAAUGCGUAGAGAUCUGGAGGAAUACCGAUGGCGAAGGCAGCCAUCUGGCCUAAUACUGACGCUGAGGUACGAAAGCAUGGGGAGCAAACAGGAUUAGAUACCCCCGUAGUCCCUGUCUCUUAUAC
rnacentral:rRNA from 1 species